AGUAAAAUAUGUAAUAAAUUAUAUAAUGUUAAGUGCUAAGGGAAAAAAAAUAAAGCAGAGAAAGGGUAUAGGAAAUCUGAGAAAGGAAUGGAAUUUUAAAUUGAGUGGCCAAGAAAGGCCUCAGUGAGAAGUGACAUUUGGAUUAAUUCCUGAGAAGUGGAGGAGCUAGUUCUGUGGGCUUAAGGCCAGGGUGGGUGCUGGGGGUGGGGGAGCAUGCCAGGCAGGGGAGGUCCCAAAUUGCAUUGGUCAUGAGGUGAAACAGUGCUUGGCAUAGCUGACGAAUAUCUAGGAGGCCAGCGUGUCUGGAGGAGACCAAGGAGGAGAGCAGUGGGAGAUGAGCCCAAAGAGAUGGCAGUAGGCUAGGUCCUAAAGGACCUCAUAGGUAAGAAAGGAAGCCAUUGAAGUGUUUUUCACAGAGAACUGACAUUAUCUGACUUUUUAGCAGGAUCAUGCUGGCCACUGAGUUUUGAGAGUAAAGUGAAGAGGGCAAGAGUGGAAACAUGGGGUUCAUUUAGGAGGCUACAGUUAUAAUCCAGACAAAAGCUUGUGGUGGCUUGAGCCAGACAAGUGGCAGUGGUGAUAGUGAGAAGUGGCUGGAUCCUGGAUAUAUUCUGAAAAUAGUGUUCACAAGAUUUUCUGACACACUAGGAUGUGGGGUUAUGCACUAUCUGUGACUGUCAAAUUUCCAUCAUAUGCUCCUAAUUGGUGAAAAAGAUACAAAUUCUCACUUGUUCUAUCAUUUUUAGAGUAUGAUGUUCCCUGACAUAACUUCAACUUUCCUUUUGUUCCUGAGUUUGAAAACACAUCCCACAAUUAUUUCUAUGUCCUAUCUCAACCUUGAGGAAAGAUAAAGAGAAAAUGUGGCUUUGAAAAUUGAUAGUGCCAAUGCUAUCUUAUGAGUUUCUCAACUGUAAGCUCCAGCCUUAUUUCAUUUCCCUUGUUGGUGUUCUCAAGGCCUGUCUCAGAACCUUGCACCCGUUAGGCUCUCAGAAAAUGUUCGUUAAAUGGUAUAGUCUCCACAUUUCCCACCCAAUAAUGAACAAAAACAACAGUCAGCCCCUGUCAACUGCACAAUCAUAAAUUAAAGUUUGUAUUUUAGUAUUUAGUAUAUUAUGCCAGGGUACUCAUUGGGUAAAUGUAGUUGAGCUUCCAGCACCUUCAUUACUACCACCUGCAAUCUGAAGUUGUGUUAGCUUUUUUGCACCUGGAAAGGUAACAAAAAGGCGGAGGAGACUGGUUUUGUAAUUCGCAUCUGGGACAGAGUGUCACGCCACCUGUCUCUUGUAAAAUCUACUGAGGAGUUAACGCCCCCUUGAACAGCGCACAAAUGUGCACAAAUGGGGAUGAUCAGUCAAAAUGCGUCUAUACGAAAGGCUGGAGACCCGAGCCUCUCCCAGGGCCCCGCCCACAAGCUCCCGAGGCACGGGCCUGCGCUGUGCACUCCGGGAGUUGUAGUUCCUCCUCUCUUCAUGCGAGCCAGGACGCAGUAUCUCUGGCGCCUCCAACGGCGCGCAGGCUCCGUGAAGCGCGGCGCACGCGGACGGCACGCGUUUCCUAGCAACGGGGGAGCGGCAACGUCACGCCGGCGGGCGCUAAGAGCAGCUGCCCAGUAUUGGGCGGCUUUGAGUACCUUUCAGCACCUGCGGGUUGGAGGGAACGCUGCUUGCAGCUUUCUGUCGGCACGUCUCCGUCCGUCCUUACCCGCGUUAUCCUAAACCCGGUCGCCGAGAGCAACCUUCCUCCGCGACCCCGCGUCUGAGGCACUGCCGGAGGCUAGAGGCGGCCCGCCGGGUUCCUGUGUGGCCCUCGCCCCCAGCGCCCGCGGAGCCCGCCGCCCGCGGCCUCAGCGGGACGAUGCUGGAGUCCAUUCGCGUGACGGAAAAGCUUCACUGGCCUGAGCAAGAACUUGCUAAGAAGUCUAUUCUAAAUGCAGAAGAGUCCUUGAUUAUUGGCAGCAAAGGAAGCAUUUCACAUUUAUCUCCUGGAAUACUAAAGGACAUUUUCACAACUGGAACCAGUAGUUACAAUGUCCUACUACAGAGCAAAGAGGAGAAAAAGCAUCAUUCACAAAAACAGUCUUCCUCCACCUACUCCAAAAGAUGUAGAAAACCCAGCAAAUCUAGCUCUUCACGUAGUAAAGAUCUUCGCAAGAUGAAAGCCCCAGUGCCUGUGAUGAGCAGUGAUACUUGGUACUGCCUAGAAAGGCAGCCUGCUGUUUUUGUCACUAGUUCAGUGUCAAGUCCUGUAAAGUUUACACAUGAUAUCUCUGUUACAGGAAACAGCACAGUACUGCCACCUAAACCCAAAAAUGAAAGAAAGGUCAAGCGACGCCAUUUCUCCACUCUUCCAAAGCCAAAGCCGCAGCCUCAGCUGUCUAGAAGUUUUGAAAAAGGAGAUGACUUUUCUGGAAAGAAAUUUUGUAUACUGAGUGCUAUAAAGCCCACCAACUUGGAGAAAGAAAAAGUGAGAUUCUUUAAGUCUGACUAUACCUACAAUCCUCAGUUUGAAUAUGCUAAUCCUUCUCUGCCAAGUGUGUUAGCCAAGCACAGCAACGCAACUGACCGGUUCCUUAAGCAGUCCAUCAAUAUUAUGGAACUGACUUUACAAAAGUAUGGAAGCUAUGAAAAAUUUGAACAGGCCACCGGUGGUAGCCUGCUAUCUAAAACUCGAAUCUGGAGUCAUGUUAGGAAAUACAUGAUGAAAGAAGGCUGCAUGGGUGAGAUUGUAGUUCACCUCACUGAGGACCUGCUUUCCCGAGCUUCGAUGACAGUAGUAAAUGGAUGUCCAACACUGACCAUCAAUGUUUGCACCGCACGUGAGCAUUGGCUGGAAGGAAUGCUGAGGCAUGAAAUAGGCACACAUUAUUUUCGAGGUAUUAACAACCUUCAGCAGCCAUGGAACAGUUGGACUGGCCGUAAAAAACAUGACCUAAAGCCAAACAAUCCCACAGAGGAAGGACUGGCAAGUAUUCACAGUGUCCUGUUUAGAAAAGACCCCUUUUUAUGGAGGGCUGCCCUCCUCUACUACACUGUUUAUCGAGCCAGCCACAUGUCUUUUUGUGCAUUAUUCAAAGACAUUGGAAAGUUUGUCAAGGACCCCAAUACAAGAUGGGAUUAUUGUGUACGAGCCAAGAGGGGAUGGACUGAUACCUCCCAACCAGGGUGUUUCAGUAAAGACCAGGUAUACUUGGAUGGUAUCCUGCAAAUCCUCCGAUAUAGAGAGACCAUUGACUUUCACCUACUUACGGCCCUGGGGAAGGUCUCUUAUGAAGAUGUGGAUCGCUUAAAAGGAUUGGCAGUUACUGAAAACAUGAGGGUCCCUCACUUUCUGCAGGACCAUGGCCGAUAUAUGGAACACUUAGAGAAGAUCAUGGAAGUGAAUGAACUGACUGACAGGGAACUGAAAGAUCUUAUAUAUUAAUUAGCAUUCUUGCAAACAUAGCUAAGUUAUACCUCCAUGUAUAUUACCAGUUAGGUGCAGUUAGCACCAGCAGAUUUAUAAAAGAAGAAUGACUGUUUACAUGAGUUUUCUGAAGAAUGGUCUGCAGUAUUCAGCUGAAUAUUUAGGUUAAGAACAAACUUUAAACUGUUUCCCUAAAAUGUUUCUAUAGGCUACAGGGGAAAGUUACUCCUGUUUUCAGCUGAAUCUCAACAGUCAGAUGAAAAUACUGCUGAUGGGUGUUUUUUAGGAAUCUUGGUCAAAUUGAGUGAUAAACUUCUGCCUGAGAACCAAGACCAGCUCUUACUAGAGAUGGAAUUCCUGUGUUGUUCAAACUUCAAGAACCAACUGAGGAGCAGAAUCUGUGCUGAGUGUCAGAGGUCCUCUGAUGAAGACAAGAAAUGUUCCACAGUCCAGUGAGGAAGAGUGGCACACACCCAGGUUACAGCACUGCCAGUACCAUACCCAAAAAGUGUUACCAAAAGAAUGUAAACCAUAAUAAAUGGGCCUGUUCAUGUGUUUGAAGCACAGAGACAAAGAUCACUUGCAAAGUAGUGAGUAUUUACAGUAUUUUAUUACCACUCUUUGCGAGGCUUGUUUGGAACCUGAGCAACUUUAGCCUAGGGGAAGGAGUAGACCAAGAAUACAGUUGCUUGGGUCAUCACAGGCCCUGAGGAGAUCCUUUGAGCCCUUCAGCAGAUGCCCAAGGGAGUCAGCACUUUAAGUGUCUUGGUCUUUGAAUUCAAACCUUUAUGGCACUUGUGAAAGCCUUGUCAGCUGGCUAUGAUUUCAUUCAUUUUUGUUCACUCUGAUUCUAGUGGCUAAAGGAAUUAAUAUCUUGAAACUGCCAGGAUGAGAAAUACCAGUGUGUGUUAGCUAGCUUUAAGAAUAUGUGGAAUUUCAAGUAUGCAGAGGGAAAAGCACAUGAAGAGGAAGCAAGAGGGCAGCCAUCUGCAAGCCAAGGAGAGAGGCCCCGAACAGAUCCUUCCCUUAUGGUUCUCAGGAAAAAUCAAGCUUUCCAACACCUUGAUCUUGAACUUCUAGCCUUCAGAACUGAAAAGAAUUGUACCUAAAGAAAGAGGACGAAGCAAAGAGCAGAUAUCUGACCACUAAGAGAUUACUGAGCAUUCAUUUCUUCCCAGCUAUCCAGUUAUCCUAACAAAAGAUGACCAGCUUCAGAAGUGACAUCAGCAUGGCUGAAAAAGCUUCCCCUCAUUUGUGUCCUCCACCCACAGCAAUUUGGUAUCCAUAUACAGACAGAAAUGACCUGGUGGGAGCUUGGGGAUCCAACACCAAGCAACUUUGUAGGAAUCACCAGGCAACCUGGUAGGAAUCUUUCCUGCCCAUGCAUUGGCUUAUAGGCAUACAGACCUAGGUCCUGGCCUGGACCCUGCAGUGGCCUGCGAACCAGCUCCAGGCCCUCUCGGCUGCAGUGUGGAAACCCUUGGAAAGUACUAUCUUAGACAGUCACCCACAGACAAGAGCACCUUUGUGAAAGUCUGGGUUUCCAGUGGAGAAUUUUCAGCACAUUUUUGGAGCAAUAAAUGAGUUUAGAUGCUUUGAAGAGGAACAGUUUGAUUUUAUCCUCAUUAUCCUUCCCUCAAGGUGGCACAGUUCAGGGCCAAGAGAGACCUUCUCAGCCCAUGAUUUCUCCUGGAGGGGAAAAUGCAAGUGACUGAGUACCCAGCUUCUCCAACUAUGUGGGAAGCCACCAAAGGGGCCCAUUUCUCUCUUGCCUCAUCCAGACUACUGAAUCUUGAGCUGCAUGAUGAGGGGGUGGGAAGGUGCUAGGAGAAUAGCAGAUAGGACUCUUGGAGGGCAUUAAAGAGUCACAGAGCCUACUAACUCACAGUCCCAUCAAGAAGCUAGCCCACAUGGCACUGGGGACACCUUACCUGUGGGUCUCCCUGACCAGCCCAUGGGAACCAGUAGUGCUCCAUGUGCCUCACCCACACACACCCCCAACUCUGUGGCUUCCUGUCUCACCCCUGAUAGCAUCAAGAGCAAGCUUUGGCAGAUGGCUAGUGAACAUGCAAAAAAAGCCCAACUGAAUCUGCAGGCCCAAGGGAGACCACAGAUGUGAGCUUUAGCCCCACACUUGGGAAAGCAGAAGGGAGGUUGUCAGCACCUAACCUUUUGCAUUGCAGACUCAAGAGAAGAUAUACAAGCUUAAGGAUUCUGCCAUAAGAGGCCAAGAAGUGUGGAGCAGGCUUACCCAUAGCUGAUCUGAGGAAGCCUCAGAAUCUCUAGCAGGGAUGACUGAAGUUAGUUCUCUGCUGAAGCAGUUAGUAAAGACUAGAGGAAGCAACUGCUACUUCAGAUACAAAGACAACAAAGCAAAACUUAAGAACAUGACACUACCAAAGGAUUAUGAUAAUCCAGUAAUUGAUUCCAAAGACAUGGAGAUCUGUGAUUUACCUGAUAAAGAAUGAAAAAUAACUGUUUAAGGAAGCUCAGUGAGCUACAAGAAUAGACAAUUUGAUGAAAUCAAGAAAAUACUUGAAUAAAAUGAGCAGUUUAACAAAGAAAAAUCAUAAAGGACCAAACAGAAAUUCUGAAGUAGAAAAAUACAGUGAAUGAAAUGAAAAAUAUAGUAGCAUCAAUAUCAGAAUGUGUCAGUCAGAAGAAAGAAUCUCUGAGGUAGAAGAUGGGAGCUUUGUGAUUAUUCAGUCAGAGGAAAACAAAGAAUGAAAAAGGAUAAUGAAAGCCUACGUGAUCUAUGGGAUACAAUCAAAAGAAACAACUUGCAAAUUAUUAGAGUUUCAGAGGGAGAAGGGGGCAGACAGCUUAUUAAAGAAAUAAUGGCUGAGAACUUCCCAAAUCUGAGGGAAAAUUUGGAUAUCCAAAUUCAUAAGGUCACCAAACUCAAAGAGACCCUCUUCAAGACAUGCUAUAAUAAAACUAUAAAAGACAAAGAAUCUUAAAAGCAGCAAGAGAAAAGAAGCUUGUAACUUAAAAGGGACCCUCCAUACUAUUAGCAGAUUUCUCAGUGAAAACCUUACAGGCCAGGAGACAGUGGGGUGAUAUAUUCAAAGUGCUGAGAGAAAACUGCCAACCAAGAAUACUCUGGCAAAGUUUUCCAUCAGAAAUGAAGGAGAGAUAAAGACUUGCCCACACAGACUAAAGCUGAGAGAGUUCAUUACCACUAGAUCUGCCUUCCAAGAGGUGCUUCCAAGCACAAUCUCAAAAGGAUGUUUUUGAUAAGUUGAUUUUAGAGCUCCAUUAGAAAAUACAUGAAAAUGUUAAAAGCAUAUAUAUCCUUAACCCAACAAUUCCACAAUAAGUACACACACACACUAUCACACACUUAUUCAUCAUAUAUACAUUGCACACAUAUGCAAAAACAUAUGUACACAUAUAUGUGCAAAGAUAUGUAUCUUUGCACUGCAACAUUGUGGUAAAAAUAGAGUGGAAGCAACCUUAAAAUUCAUUAGCAAGGAACUAGUUAGAUGACAUAUUUAUAUGUUAAAACUAUAUAGCCUAUUUAAAAAUAAAGUAGGCCUGUACAUCUUGAUUUAGAUUCUACAUCAUUGUAGAACAAUCUCCAAACUCUAUUGUUAAGUAAAAAGCAUGUUUCAGAAUGGUGUUUGAAGUCAGUUUCUAUUUGAUUUUUAAAAAGGGUGGGGGGACGGUAUGUGUACGUACAUGUACACUUGUAUAGUCACAGAACAUCUCUGGUAGGCUACAUGAGAUACAGGUAAGGGUGGUGACACUGAAGGACUAGGAGUCAGGAGUAAGAAAGAAACUCACUCCAUACUAUUUUUAUUUGACUUUACUAUAUGCACAUAUGGUCUUUAAAUCUUUCUUGCAUUUUUGAGUUCAUGUUUAUUGUUUUAUUCACUGUGUUAGCAGAAUUCUAGAUUUAAUCACUGCAUUUUGAAAAUUUUUUAAUUUCAUAUUAAUAAAUGAAAUAAAAUGAUACAAAUUCUCCUUCCCACCUGUGGCUCCCAUCCCUGUUCUCUCCCACCAGAGAU